UGAACCCAACCGGAAUCCCUUCUCAAAAUUGAACCGGCUCUCUUCUUCAUUCCCGUCGCUUCGACAACCAGGGUUCCUGCUCUACGGAUGGAAAAUUAAAGAAGGUGCGUUGUCGAUCCUUCUUCACUCCCGCCGUUUCCAAUAAUGCCGAUUCAUUCCGUCGGUUGAUUCCCUCUCCAGACGAAAAAAUGAUACCGAUUCAAUAUCGUUUCGUCUCCUGUGCCGCAUCGGAUAUUUAAACCUGUUGAUUCCGAAGGGUUGUUCUAUACUUCUUUCCAUACCUCUUAAUGGUCAUCUACAAUCUUUUGUUGUUCAUCCUACUACAUCUACGCUUCCAUGCAUAUCUCCUGAGAUGAGACAUGGAGGAGUAGCUUCUCAAAGAGGGAGGCAUACACACACACGAAAAAGAAAAACAGAUAGAGAACAAUGCCAUUUCUCAACUCUCACAGCUUCAUAAUUGGACAACCUCAAUACUGGCUAUAAACUGAUCAUUUUCUUUUUCCUAAUCCCUUUUGGAUUGUCCUUUCUCUUUGAUCGUUUAUUCUCCUUUUCCAAUACCAUAUUGAUUUUCAUACCUUAAAGUGAUGAUUCUGGAAGAAACCAGGCUGGGAUAUGUGAGGAAAGAUCUAUCUAAACGUUGUAAAGCCACAAUCACUAUAGACUUUGGAGUAUAGGUGGGAAAUAUGCUGGCAAUCGAGAAGGUAGAGAUGACGUCGCCAUAGAAUAUAGCGGUGCACCUCCUUCUGCCGCACUAAUGUCUACUUAUGAAAAGUUAAGGUUUAUAACUCACCCUCAUAUGAUGUUACUUUCUUUAUAGUUUAUUGGUGAAGAUAUCUUAGUCUUUUAUUGAAGUGACAUAAUUUAAUUGGAGGAGAAUACAUCAAUUUCCCUAAAUGUUUGCUUGGUUGUAUAUCGACAUCUAAACUAAAAAAAAAUAAAGGAAUUAUAUUAGCUGCCGAUCCCUCAAUUAUGUUAAUUAUCAUUAACAAUCUUCAAUCGACUUGAAUAGCCUUCUUUUUUUGAAUGCUCAUAUAAUUUAAGAAGUAUUCGAGAUGUGUGUCUGUCAUCUAACUAAAGAUUGUUCUAAAAUAAAAAAAAAGAAAACUAUCAUCUCACUAAAGAUUGUUCCCAAAAAAAAAUUAAGAAAAGCCGAAAUUAAGGAUUAAAUAGUCAAUUGAAACAAACUAAUGUUUCAUGGGACUCUCAUAACUUAAUUUGAUUCUAGAAAUUUCAUGGGACUCUCAUAACUUAAUUUGAUUCAAUUUCUAGAUUUUGCAGGGACAAACUCCUUUUUCUUUCUCACAUGUUUGGCCAUAAAUCUGGAGAUCUUUUUAAAAGCAAUUUGUCUUCAAGUUGGCCGCUGUAUUAGUUACAAUUAACCUUCAGGUUUGUCGUUUCUGGAUAAUUUCUGUGGUUAUAUGUUUUGCAUCCUCCGGCCUACAGUUUUUUCUUUUUACUGUAUAUGGCUCUAUAUACUUUGGUGUUGAAACUACCGGUGGUGCUUUUGCUGUGGUUUGUGUUUACUUCUAACUUGCCGUUGGCCAUAUUUUCUAUCUGUCAGUGCUUAAGAUCAUAAAUUUUCCAACAUUUAUCCUAAAGAAAAAAUUCCAACGUUUAAUUAA